CGUGUUCUUCUAUUCUUCUGGUUUCAUCCACGCCGGUCUUCCAUCUUCUUUUUCUUUUGUUUUAAAAUUUUCGAAAUUUGGUUUCCUCUUCCCUCUAGUUCGUGUUUCUUUUCUCCACGCGUGUCUCUCGACCAAGAUGGCAAACAAGAGGAAGACAAGGGCAACCUCUAACUCUCCCUCUUUUCUUUCAACCCAACACAAAGAAUUCUACGUGGACUUGGAGAAAAGGCAGGUGAUUAAGGAGAGGGGGUUUUCUAUACCCUUGCGCAUAUAUACUCAAUUCAGCAAUGUGAUUGAUGAGAGAGGGUGGAGGAAGUUGGCUGGACCGCCUGGUUAUGGUUGUGAAGUGUUAGUGCGAGAGUUCUAUGCUCAUGCUAAGCUCAUUAACCAAACCAAUGCACUAUCGGAGCGAUCGUAUAAAUCUUGGUUCCGAGGAACCAAAAUAGACUACAGUCCACAAGCCAUUCAUCGUUACUUGCAGCUGCCACAGCGAGAUCCUUUAGAGCAACGCCUCUCUUAUCAUGACUUGUUGGAGCCCCCCUUGCACGAUGAAAUUUUGGAAGCGGUUGCCAUCCCUGGCGCAAAAUGGAAAUUCACUGCUGGUAGAAGGAUAGCGAGUAUUCUGAGGAACUUAUUGACACUUGAUGCAAGAAUUUGGGCCCAUUUUAUUCUGGACACUAUUUGACCCACUUCCCAUAAAAGUGAUUUGCGACUUUGAGAAACUCUAGUCAUCUAUUGCAUUUUGAAGAAGUGUCCUAUUGAUAUAGGAAGGCUCAUUGCUGAUGAGAUUUAUGAUACUGUUAAUGGCAAUAAUGUGGAUUCUCGGUUGCCUUAUCCUAUUCUGAUUACUCGGUUGGUAGAGGAUCAGUUUGGUACUUAUGAAAUUCACACGCCAAUUCGGCCAGAACCCACACUCACUGACAGAGAGAUCACAAAGCUGAUGAAAAAAGCUGGGAGGCAUCAUGAGGAGUUCUACCGAAGGCAAAAGGAGGAGCGUAAUCAGCAGCGACAAGCAACUCCUAGUACCCAAAAGAGCUUGCCUCCUCAGUCAGAUAUCCUCAUGUUAUAUGAUGCUGUUGGGGCCAUACUCCGCCGUGUCGAUGCUGUCCACACAAACCAGCAGUUGCAAUGGGAGCGAGAAGGAAGACCUGAUGCAAAAUUUGUGCGUCGCUGGCCUUUUGGUGAUCUUGAGCAGAAAAUUCUGGAGCUGAGUGGGAAUUCUGAAGCUCAAAGUACCGGAGCGGCUGAAGAGGGGAGUGAUGAUGAUGAGCCUCAGAGCUCAGAUUGAGGGAGUUCUUUCCCUUAUCUUUUUACUGUUUUAUCUUUCGUUCAGUUUUAGUUUUCUUAGUUUUUAUGUCUUAUUUAAUUACGUUUUACAGGAUAGUUAGUUUGUGUUUUGUGGAGUCAGUUUACCCUUAUAUGCCUGUGUUAUGCACCAUAUUACUUGCGUAUCUUAAGCGGUUUCACCCUGAAUUUAGAUGCUUGUUUUGUUUGUGAAAAUUGUUGAAAUUUGUUAUUUGGGGUGAUUCACAUGUGGGGAACUGUUUGUGUUAAGAGAAUGAGAGCUGGGUAGCUUUGGGAACCUGGGUUGAGUUGCUUGGAAACACUGUUUCGAGUUCUGAUAAUGGGUACACUUACCCUUUUGUUUCUGAGUGUUGAGUCAAUAUUCUGACAUACUUGUACCUGCUUGAACCUGUCUUGAUUUGCAUCUCGGUUGAAUAUGUGCAGUGUAACACCCCGAUUUCCGGGUGCCACUUUAGUAACCAAAAAUAACUCUACGCGGAAAACAGGUGCUUUUGAGGAUUUCUCUGAGGAACAACACUUUGUGUGCGAGGAAGCGCUAGACGAUCAUUCUGGAGAACCUUCAGGUGAGGGCUUCUCACUGAAUCUCUAGUUAAUACUUAGGGUCGAUGUUUUCGACAUUGUUUAAUGUUUAUGCACUGGAUUGUGUGUGAUUGGAAAAUGUUUUCUGAGGCUUCGGCUGACAAUGUAGAUGAUGAAUCUACUGAAUGCUUUUGAGAUUGACUUACAUGCUAUGUGCUAUGUGGGUAAUCUAGGAUGUGUGGUGCAUGCCUUAUAUGCUAAGUGCUAAGUGUUUAUAAUGAGAUUUAUUGAUAUAUGACAUGUUGAUUGUGAUGGUUUAAAUAUGCUUUGCACUGGAAUCUGAGAUUCUGAAUGGUGAGAAUAGCGGGCAGGUCAUGCCGAUUUUAUUUUGAGAGUUUUGAGAAAGUUUGAUAGGACGAACGAGGUUCGGGCCUUAUUUUUGUUAAGUGGAUCGAGACAUUCUCUGGAAGCGACUUGGGAUUGGGAGAUCCUGAAAAUGUAUAAGACUUGCGAUAAGACAAAAUGGAAUCUAUUUUAUAAAGAAAACUCAUAAGACCUUAAAUAUCCUCUAAAUCUUUAAGUAAUGAUAACAACCUCGAAGGAAGGCAUUGGAAGUCAAAUCUUAAUUUUGGAAAAAACGAGAAGUGUCGUCGGAUCCAAGUGUUGAGUAUGUCGUUGUUGUGCUGUUGGAGCAGCGUUUGUUGUUGUGCUGUUGGAGCAGCUAUGUUGUUGGGCUAUCCUGGGGAUAAGUCCGGGGAAUUGAUAGUUCCCGAGUAUGUGAUACUCUUGUGCUGUUGGAGCAGCUAUGUGUUGAUGUGAAGUGUGUCUUUUGGUCGCAGAAUCGACCGUUACCUUAGGGUAAGCUUUUAGAGACUUUAAUUUACCUAGAACACGUGGCGACGUGUCGAGUGAGAUUCGGAGACGUUGUUUGACUAAUCAUCCUGCAUACAUGCAACAUUAAUGAGGUAUUAACACAGGACGUACUCUGGACCUCGUCGGUUUCCAAAAUGGUCAUAAGACCCGGAAUGCCGUGUAAGAGCGUUUGUAGACAUCUCUUGUAGCAGACCGAAAUGGCAGACCUACGGGUUUACUGCUGAUCUGACUACGCGUGGUUGUUGGAGUAAGAGGCACGCGGGCCGAAAUGGCUCCACCGUGGCUGGUGUUAGGGCUGAUCCGUUUGAUGUCCAUCCCUUUCCGGAAUGCAUGUGGUUAACUGGGUUAACCGUCAUUUGCAUAUCAUGCAACAUGCAUAUCAAUUUAGUUGUUGAGUGUGACUGGUAAUUGUUAAUCCUAUUUGGAACAUGCUAUUUGCUAUUAUUGCGUUUAUGUUAUUGUGGAACAUGCAACCCUAGGAAUGAUAUCUCUAGUUAUAAGCCUAAGUGGCUAUCUAUUAUUUGUACCUAUUGGGUUUAUUAUCUACAUAGUUCUUUAGAGUUGACCCUCGCGUCUUCUGU